GCUGGAGACUACGGGUGCCCGGCGCGCUGUCCUCCUGGCUACUGCUCUCGUUAGCAAUGACCAGGCUAGGAAGGCGUUCACUGGGCUGAGAGUAUACCGUCGAACUUGAUCGUGUUUAUGCGCGCGAAAGGAGUGUCUCCCUGCCCCCUU
rnacentral:ncRNA from 1 species